UAGUGAUUACUAAUGUCUGCAUGAAGGUUUCUCAAAAGACAGAAAUGUUACUGUGGACAUGACCAUAAAGAGAAAAUUCCCAUGAGGUUUUUCAUAUGCUACUUGACUAGCAGUUACCCUGUUGGGUACAUGC
ensembl:snoRNA Gm23939 predicted gene, 23939